CCUACGGGAGGCAGCAGUGGGGAAUUUUGGACAAUGGGCGAAAGCCUGAUCCAGCCAUGCCGCGUGCAGGAUGAAGGCCUUCGGGUUGUAAACUGCUUUUGUACGGAACGAAACGGUCUCUUCUAAUAAAGGGGGGCUAAUGACGGUACCGUAAGAAUAAGCACCGGCUAACUACGUGCCAGCAGCCGCGGUAAUACGUAGGGUGCAAGCGUUAAUCGGAAUUACUGGGCGUAAAGCGUGCGCAGGCGGUUAUAUAAGACAGUUGUGAAAUCCCCGGGCUCAACCUGGGAACUGCAUCUGUGACUGUAUAGCUAGAGUACGGUAGAGGGGGAUGGAAUUCCGCGUGUAGCAGUGAAAUGCGUAGAUAUGCGGAGGAACACCGAUGGCGAAGGCAAUCCCCUGGACCUGUACUGACGCUCAUGCACGAAAGCGUGGGGAGCAAACAGGAUUAGAUACCCUGGUAGUCCACGCCCUAAACCGAUGUCAACUGGUUGUUGGGUCUUCACUGCUCAGUAACGAAGCUAACGCGUGAAAGUUGACCGCCGNGGGGAGGACGGUCCGGCCGAGGUUAGUUAAACGUACGAAAGAAAGUUAGAGGCGNGNGAGNGCGACGGACGACACGAGGGAGGAGG
rnacentral:rRNA from 1 species